rnacentral:rRNA from 1 species
UACGUAGGGGGCGAGCGUUGUCCGGAAUUACUGGGCGUAAAGGGCGCGCAGGCGGCCGUGUAAGUCCGCUGUGAAAGACCGGGGCUCAACCCCGGGGUGUCAGCGGGGACUGCACGGCUGGAGUCCCGGAGGGGGAGGCGGAAUACCUGGUGUAGCGGUGGAAUGCGUAGAGAUCAGGUGGAACACCGAUGGCGAAGGCAGCCUCCUGGACGGGUACUGACGCUGAGGCGCGAAAGCGUGGGAGCGAACGGG